ensembl:lncRNA
CCAUCCCACCACACCCAGACCCUCCCCACUGAGCCCCAACCACCUUUACCUGAACCCCCCUGCAGAGUCCCAUUGCCCAUGCACCCGAAACCCCCAAAAUGAGCCCUCGUUGACCCAGAUUCCUCUACACAUAUCCAGACCCUGCACAGAGCCACCCACACGAGAUUGCCCCACACAGAACCCCACACCUGGAUCCCCCCACAUUAAGCCACCCCACACUUGGACCCUGCCAGGAUGACUCUGUCUGCCCACACCUAAUGUGCCUGGCACGGAGCUGCUAAUCCUGGUGAGUUGCUUCAUCUGCUGCUACUACUGAGGGAAUUCUGCACCAAAAAAUUAAAAAUUCUGUGCACAAUAUUUUAAAAUUCUGCAAAUGUUAUUUGUCAAUAAAUAAAUACAGAGGCUCCAGCAUGGCAGUGAAGAGCACAGGCCACUGGCUGCAUGGAGGUGGGAGAUCACCUUGCAACCCUCCCCCCAGCCCUGGGAUACAGCCCUCUGGGGCAGGCCUGGCUCUUGCGCUAAUUCCAAUCACUGUUAAAAUUUUGCAACCUAUUCCCCCCAGUCUUAAUUUGUCUAGUUUCAACUUCCAGCCACUGUAUUUUAGAAAUCUUCAGAAAUAUCUUUGUUCACGAAGUUAAAGUGCCAUUUACUAUCAGAAAUCUUCUCCCCAUGUAAUUACCUAAGGCUUGUGUUAAAUCCACUCUUAAUCUUCUCUUUGAUAAAAUAGAUUGAACUUCUUAAAUCUUUCACUGUUAGGCAGGUUUCCAGACCUCAAAUCUCUUGUGUGACUCUUUUCUGAACCCUCUUCAAUUUUUCAACCUUUUUUUGAAGUAUGGAAACUAAAACCAAGGGCACUGGAACCUUUGCAGAAGGGGGGCACCAGUGCUGGAACGGGGGGAGGCCGUGGGCCACUAUGCCCUUUUUACAUGGGUGUAGUUUGGGGGGCAAAGGAUGAUGUUGCCUCUUGCAAACUGCAAGCCUUGGGUAAGCAUGGAGUGGUGCCAGCAGGGGUUACGCUUUUGUGGUGGUGAGCUGAUCACCAGUAUCAACUGUAGUCCUACUCAAUAUUCCCACUUUAACCCUGUUAUUGUAUUAUUAUUGGGAGUUCACGAUCAGUUGGUUUCCACACUAAGGGUUGGAUUCAUAAAAGGACAUAGGCUCCUAACUGCCACUUUAGGGGCCUAAAUCCUAGAAUCAGGCCCCACUGGGAUUCACAAAGCCCCCACUCAGCUGCCAACUAGCCCUCUAGGUGCUUGAACGCUCUCAGUGCCUAAAUUUUUGCAGUGAAAUUGACUAUGUGCCUAUGUUCCUGCUUCUGUGCAUGCACACUGGUGCCCUGCACCAGGAGUCUGGAUACCUAAGCUUUAGAGCAAUGCAUGAACCAGAGGAAGCUAAGUGUUUGGCUGCCUAACUCACCUGCAGGGCUCAAUCUGGCAGGUGUUCUCAGAACUCGCCUACUGGAUCCGGGCCCCAUGGGUGAUCUCACAGAAAACAGUGUGGGAAAAGAGGACUUCCCUCAUAACUUUCAACCCAGUUGUUAGUGUACUUACCUGGAAUGAAGAUGACACUAGGUUCAAGUCCCCCCUUUAUCUGAGGAGUUUGAAAGGGGCUCUGCUACUUCUUAGUUGUGUGCCCUAACCUGGGCUGCAAAACAUUCUGAUCUGGAGUUUCCUCUGUCUCUCCUGUUGAAGCUGUUGCACCAUGGAGAAAUAAUUUUUAAAAUGGCAUUGGAGCAAGGGGACUGGCUGCUCGGUUUCCCACCACCCGGGGAGGGCGCUAACCACCACGCUACAGAGUCUUUCCUGUGCUUGCUCCAUCUUUGGCCCAAUGACUCUGUAGCCCGGUAGCUAGAGCCCAUCUCUAGGAAGUGGGGAAGCCAGGAUCCAGUCUCCCUGCUCCAAUGGCUUCAAGAGGAGACAGUGAGGGAGCCCACCUCAAACUAUCCCAUAGCCCAGUGGUUAACGCACUUUGAAAUGUGGCAAGUCUCUACAGAUGGAGGGACUUAAACAAGUCUAUCUCUCAUCCCACAUGAGUAUCCCAAUCACUAGGCUAUGAGGGAGCACGUCUUUCCCUGGUGUCUUGCUUAGGGUUGCCAGGUGUUCGGUUUUUGACGGGAAUGCCUGGUCAGAAAGGGAUCCUCCAAAUUUCACUUGGAGAUGAGCAUUUUGUUAAAUCUUCUGUCUUC